rnacentral:rRNA from 1 species
AAACCAACCGGGAUUGCCUUAGUAACGGCGAGUGAAGCGGCAAAAGCUCAAAUUUGAAAUCUGGUACCUUCGGUGCCCGAGUUGUAAUUUGGAGAGGGCAACUUUGGGGCCGUUCCUUGUCUAUGUUCCUUGGAACAGGACGUCAUAGAGGGUGAGAAUCCCGUG